GCGGCGCGCAGGCGCGGCCCAUCCCGCCCGCAGAGCCGCAGUGCCGGGCGCCAGAGCAGCGGCGCCAGAGCAGCUGCACCAUCCCGGCGUUCGCGUGUGCCGCCGCUUUCCUCCUCCAUCUCUUUUCCUCCGCCUCCGCCGGCGCGAUGGCGAAGCCGCUGACGGACAGCGAGAAGCGGAAGCAGAUCAGCGUGCGCGGCCUGGCGGGGCUAGGCGACGUGGCCGAGGUGCGGAAGAGCUUCAACCGGCACUUGCACUUCACGCUGGUCAAGGACCGCAAUGUGGCCACGCCCCGCGACUACUUCUUCGCGCUGGCGCACACGGUGCGCGACCACCUCGUGGGCCGCUGGAUCCGCACGCAGCAGCACUACUACGAGCGCGACCCCAAGCGCAUUUAUUAUCUUUCCCUGGAAUUCUACAUGGGUCGCACGCUGCAGAACACGAUGGUGAACCUGGGCCUUCAGAAUGCCUGCGAUGAAGCCAUCUAUCAGUUGGGGUUAGACUUGGAGGAACUCGAGGAGAUAGAAGAAGAUGCUGGCCUUGGGAAUGGAGGCCUGGGGAGGCUGGCAGCGUGUUUCCUUGACUCAAUGGCCACCUUGGGCCUGGCAGCAUACGGCUAUGGAAUCCGCUAUGAAUUUGGGAUUUUUAACCAGAAGAUUGUCAAUGGCUGGCAGGUAGAGGAGGCUGAUGACUGGCUGCGCUACGGCAACCCCUGGGAGAAAGCGCGGCCCGAGUAUAUGCUUCCCGUGCACUUCUACGGACGCGUGGAGCACACCCCCGACGGCGUGAAGUGGCUGGACACACAGGUGGUGCUGGCCAUGCCCUACGACACCCCGGUGCCCGGCUACAAGAACAACACCGUCAACACCAUGCGGCUGUGGUCUGCCAAGGCUCCCAACGACUUCAAGCUGCAGGACUUCAACGUGGGAGACUACAUCGAGGCGGUCCUGGACCGGAACUUGGCUGAGAACAUCUCCAGGGUCCUGUAUCCAAACGAUAACUUCUUUGAGGGGAAGGAGCUGCGGCUGAAGCAGGAGUACUUCGUGGUGGCCGCCACACUCCAGGACAUCAUCCGCCGCUUCAAGUCAUCCAAGUUCGGCUGCCGGGACCCUGUGAGAACCUGUUUCGAGACGUUCCCAGACAAGGUGGCCAUCCAGCUGAACGACACCCACCCCGCCCUCUCCAUCCCCGAGCUCAUGCGGAUCCUGGUGGACGUGGAGAAGGUGGACUGGGACAAGGCCUGGGAAAUCACGAAGAAGACCUGUGCGUACACCAACCACACUGUGCUGCCUGAGGCCUUGGAGCGCUGGCCCGUGUCCAUGUUUGAGAAGCUGCUGCCGCGGCACCUGGAGAUAAUCUAUGCCAUCAACCAGCGGCACCUGGACCACGUGGCCGCGCUGUUUCCCGGGGAUGUGGACCGCCUGCGCAGGAUGUCUGUGAUCGAGGAGGGGGACUGCAAGCGGAUCAACAUGGCCCACCUGUGUGUGAUUGGGUCCCAUGCUGUCAAUGGUGUGGCGAGGAUCCACUCGGAGAUCGUGAAACAGUCGGUCUUUAAGGAUUUUUAUGAACUGGAGCCAGAGAAGUUCCAGAAUAAGACCAAUGGCAUCACCCCCCGCCGGUGGCUGCUGCUGUGCAACCCGGGGCUGGCCGAUACCAUCGUGGAGAAAAUUGGGGAGGAGUUCCUGACUGACCUGAGCCAGCUGAAGAAGCUGCUGCCGCUGGUCAGUGACGAGGUGUUCAUCAGGGACGUGGCCAAGGUCAAACAGGAGAACAAGCUCAAGUUCUCGGCCUUCCUGGAGAAGGAGUACAAGGUGAAGAUCAACCCCUCCUCCAUGUUCGACGUGCAUGUGAAGAGGAUCCACGAGUACAAGCGGCAGCUGCUCAACUGCCUGCACGUCGUCACCCUGUACAACCGAAUCAAGAGAGACCCGGCCAAGGCUUUUGUGCCCAGGACUGUUAUGAUUGGGGGCAAGGCAGCGCCCGGUUACCACAUGGCCAAGCUGAUCAUCAAGUUGGUCACCUCCAUUGGCGACGUCGUCAAUCAUGACCCAGUUGUGGGUGACAGGUUGAAAGUGAUCUUCCUGGAGAACUACCGUGUGUCCUUGGCUGAGAAAGCCAGUUCAGCUCUGCCUGGACACCCAGACCUAGCCAGCCGGGCUGCAGGCGAGCAGGGAACGGCUUUAGGGAGUGCUCCCCGUGCAGUGCGGAGGACUCACGUGAUCCCCUCCACGGGCUCCCCUCCACAGUGAUCCCGGCCGCUGAUCUGUCGCAGCAGAUCUCCACUGCAGGCACCGAGGCCUCAGGCACAGGCAACAUGAAGUUCAUGCUCAACGGGGCCCUCACCAUCGGCACCAUGGACGGCGCCAACGUGGAGAUGGCCGAGGAGGCCGGGGCCGAGAACCUCUUCAUCUUCGGCCUGCGGGUGGAGGACGUCGAGGCCUUGGACCGGAAAGGGUACAAUGCCAGGGAGUACUACGACCACCUGCCCGAGCUGAAGCAGGCGGUGGACCAGAUCAGCAGUGGCUUUUUUUCUCCCAAGGAGCCAGACUGCUUCAAGGACAUCGUGAACAUGCUGAUGCACCAUGACAGGUUCAAGGUGUUUGCAGACUAUGAAGCCUACAUGCAGUGCCAGGCACAGGUGGACCAGCUGUACCGGAACCCCAAGGAGUGGACCAAGAAGGUCAUCAGGAACAUCGCCUGCUCGGGCAAGUUCUCCAGUGACCGAACCAUCACGGAGUAUGCACGGGAGAUCUGGGGUGUGGAGCCCUCCGACCUGCAGAUCCCGCCCCCCAACAUCCCCCGGGACUAGGCGCACCCUGCCUUGGUGGGACCAGCGGGCAUUUGUUUUCUUGCUGACUUUGCACCUCCUUUUUUCCCCAAACACUUUGCCAGCCGCUGGUGGUCCCUGCUUUUCUGAGUACCAUGUUUCCAGGAGGGGCCAUGGGGGUCAGGGUGGUUUUGAGAGAGCAGGGUAAGGAAGGAAUGUGCUAGAAGUGCUCCUAGUUUCUUGUAAAGGAAGCCAGAGUUGACAGUACAAAGGGUCGUGGCCAGCCCUGCAGCUUCAGCACCUGCCCCACCCAGAGUGGGAGUCAGGUGGAGCCACCUGCUGGGCUUCCCCAGAACUUUGCACACAUCUUGCUAUGUAUUAGCCGAUGUCUUUAGUGUUGAGCCUCUGGAUUCUGGGGUCUGGGCCAGUGGCCAUAGUGAAGCCUGGGAACGAGUGUUACUGCAGCAUCUGGGCUGCCAGCCACAGGGAAGGGCCAAGCCCCACGUAGCCCCAGUCAUCCUGCCCAGCCCUGCCUCCUGGCCAUGCCGGGAGGGGUCGGAUCCUCUAGGCAUCGCCUUCACAGCCCCCUGCCCCCUGCCCUGGCUCUGCACCUGGUAUAUGGGUCAGGGACCCAGAUGGGGCUUUCCCUUUGUAACCAUCCAAUGGGCAUUGUGUGGGUGCUUGGAACCCGGGAUGACUGAGGGGGACACUGGAGUGGGUGCUUGUGUCUGCUGUCUCAGAGGCCUUGGUCAGGAUGAAGUUGGCUGACACAGCUUAGCUUGGUUUCGCUUAUUCAAAAGAGAAAAUAACUACACAUGGAAAUGAAACUAGCUGAAGCCUUUUCUUGUUUUAGCAACUGAAAAUUGUACUUGGUCACUUUUGUGCUUGAGGAGGCCCAUUUUCUGCCUGGCAGGGGGCAGGUCUGUGCCCUCCCACUGAUUCCUGCUGUGUCCUGAGGUGCAUUUCCUGUUGUACACACAAGGGCCAGGCUCCAUUCUCCCUCCCUUUCCACCAGUGCCACAGCCUCGUCUGGAAAAAGGACCAGGGGUCCCGGAGGAACCCAUUUGUGCUCUGCUUGGACAGCAGGCCUGGCACUGGGAGGUGGGGGUGAGCCCCUCACAGCCUUGCCCCUCCCCAAGGCUGGCAACCUGCCUCCCAUUGCCCAAGAGAGAGGGCAGGGAACAGGCUAUUGUCCGUCCCUGUGGAAUUGCCGAGAAAUCUAGCACCUUGCAUGCUGGAUCUGGGCUGCGGGGAGGCUCUUUUUCUCCCUGGUCUCCAGUGCCCACCAGGAGGAUCCGUGCACGGUGCACAGCCCACCAGAGCACUACAGCCUUUUAUUAAGUGGGGCAAGUGCUGGGCUGUGGUCGUGCCCUGACAGCAUCUGCCCCAGGCAGCGGCUCUGUGGAGGAGGCCAUACUCCCCUAGUUGGCCACUGGGGCCACCACCCUGACCACCACUGUGCCCCUCAUUGUUACUGCCUUGUGAGAUAAAAACUGAUUAAACCUUUGUGGCUGUGGUUGGCUGA